rnacentral:rRNA from 1 species
CGUGGCGUGAGUCGUCUGCUUAAUUGCGAUAACGAGCGAGACUCCGACUGUUAACUAGCACAAUUCUUCUUUUGGGAUUAAGGCUUCUUAACUGGAUUCGAGACUCCAAGUCUCAAGAAAUGGAGCAAUAACAGGUCUGUGAUGCCCUUAGAUGUUCGGGGCCGCACGCGUGCUACAAUGGUGGUAACAGCGUGAUUGUCCUCGCCCGACAGGGCUUGGCAAACAGUUGAGAUAUUAUUAUGGCUGGAAUUGAGUGUUGCAAUUUUCUCUCAUGAACGAGGAAUUCCAAGUAAAUGCGAGUCAUCAACUUGCAUUGAAUACGUCCCUGCCCUUUGUAC